AUGGACAAGUCUGCAGGGGUUUGCCAGUCGGACUUCCAUGAUUGCAAAUUGUCGUUCCUGCAAAUUAUAUGUGAUCACGAUCUUUUUGUUGAGAUGACUGGUAUGUAUCCCGCUCUAAAUUCAUGGACUACCAACCUAGGGAACUAUAAAUAUUCCAGUUUGCCAAACUAUUUUAAUAGACCAGCAGUAUUGUUCAGAGACUUUGGUCCUCCUCCACAGCGGGAUGCGACCUCCCUGGAGCAGCGGGUCAAGCGCAUCGUCGAAGGGGGAGAGGAUCUUGUUAUCUACAGCAACGUUGAGUGA
rnacentral:rRNA from 1 species